rnacentral:rRNA from 1 species
UAACACGUGGGCAACCCUGCCCUGAAGUGGGGGACGAACAAAUCCGAAAGGGUUGCUAAUACCGCAUGUGAACUUUUCUGGCAUCAUGAAAUGUUCAAAGCCUUGUGCGCUUCAGGAUGGGCCCGCGGCCUAUCAGCUUGUUGGCGGGGUAACGGGCCCACCAAGGCUUCGACGGGUAGCUGGUCUGAGAGGACGAUCAGCCGGAUUGGGACUGAGAUACGGCCCAG